AAUCGUUGCACCGAGCGGUUCAUCUUUUGAUCUGCGGAUAAAUCCCAGCGCAUCUCUCACUUCUGGCGGCGUUCUAAGACAGAAGCAAAGAUUUACAAAUAUUUUAUUUUGUCAGAAUUUAUGUUUUUGCUCUCGAAAGAUAUGUGUGCUUGUUCGAAGCCAGCCCCUAACUUGGCCGACACACACGCGCACGAGCACACGCACACAAGUGCAGGGAAGGCGAGCAGGAACGAUCGCGUUCGAUUUUCGUCUGGUUGUUGUCGAGUUGUCGGCAUUUGACGUGCGUCAUGGUAUGGGGAAGCCGGCGAGGUGGUUUUCUACGAUUGUGUGCGUGCGAGGGUAGAAAAAAUCACUGAAGGAAUGGUUACCAAGUUCGAGCGUUCGACUUUUCCGAUUGGCAACAAAUGUAAUACGAUUAUUUAAAUAUACUUAGAUAGACACAUAUUUGUGGGAAAACUAA